rnacentral:rRNA from 1 species
UACGUAGGGCGCAAGCGUUGUCCGGAAUUAUUGGGCGUAAGAGCUCGUAGGCGGUCUGUCGCGUCUGUUGUGAAAACUCGAGGCUCAACCUCGGGCUUGCAGUGGAUACGGGCAGACUAGAGUGCGGUAGGGGAGACUGGAAUUCCUGGUGUAGCGGUGGAAUGCGCAGAUAUCAGGAGGAACACCGAUGGCGAAGGCAGGUCUCUGGGCCAUACUGACGCUGAGAAGCGAAAGCAUGGGGAGCGAACAGG